UAUAUAUAUAUAUAUAUAUAUAUAUAUAUAUAUUUGUAAACUGAGAUAAUUUGAUGAAUAAAAAGUUAAAAAGAACAGCAUUUAUUCAGAAUAAAAGCCUUUUCUAACCAUGUACAUCUUUGCUAUCACCUCUUAUCAAUUUAACACAUCCUUACUGAAUAAAAGUUUUAAUUUCAGUCCAAAACAAAAAGCAAAAAAGAAACAUUUACUGACCCUAAACUAUAGUGUAUAUUGUUAGAAAAGAUUUCUAUUUUAAAUAAAUGCUCUUCUUUUUAACUUUUUAUUCAUAAAAGAAUCCUGAAAAAAAGGAGUACAGGAUCCAAAAAUGACCCAGCACUGAUAAUAAAUCAGAGUAUUAGAAUGAUUUCCGAAUGAUCAUGUGACACUGAAGACUGGAGUAAUGAUGCUGAAAAUUCAGCUUUGCUUCACAGGAAUAAAUUGGAUUUUAAUUUAUGUUAAAAUAGAAAAAUGUUACAAUAUUAUUUUUUUUCCUGUAUUUUUGAUCAAAUAAAUGCCGCUUUGGUGAGCAUAAGAAACUCCUUUAAAAAACAUUAAAAACUGUUCUGAUCCCAAACUUUUAAAAGUCAGUGUGUGUAUAUAUAGAUAGAUAGAUAGAUAGAUAGAUAGAUAGAUAGAUAGAUAGAUAGAUAGAAAGAUAGAUAUCGUCAAACCAAAACCUUCAACAUUUCUCACAUUAUCACAGUUUAUUCGCUAUAGUUUAGAAAAUGGUAAUAAAAUAUGACAAGAACUCAGAGUUAAACUGUCAGAACAAAUUCUUCUUGAUAAUGUCAGAUAGCUUUGAUAGAAAGGUAUGUAAUGAAUUAGUUUGAAAAGCUGUCAGCUGUUAAAUUUAAGUACACAAUUAGAUAAUAGCAAUUAAGGUCAACCAGUUACAAAGGCAAUGCUUAACUUUGUUCAGUCUGUGGUGUAAAAAGGUCUCAUUAGCAAUUAAAGUAAAAAAAAAAAAAAAGAAAAAAAAAACCUACAGAAAAACAUGGUCAGGUUAGAGUGUUUUAAUAAUUUUUGGUCCCAAAUUGUAAUUAAUUUUACUAAUAGUCCACUGUAUGAAGAAUUUUGGGGUAUAAUAUGUCACAGUUCACUUUAUUCUGCUAUCCUCACUUACAUAAAUUAACUAUAGUGUCCUGCACCCACUUGUGAAAACAAAAAUAUAUGUUAAAAAUUGUAUCUGGUGUCUGAAUAAUUUUUGGCUUGUCUGUAUAUGUAUAUUAUCAUUUAUUUUGUUUAUUUUGCUUCUGACGCUUUACAUAUACACCAAGAUAAUGAUAUUGUGCAAAAUGAUACAAAAAAUAAAAAUUAUACUAUAAAAAUAAAAAUAAUAAAAAAGCUGUUAUGUAUUGCACACAUAUAGGACAGGAAGUCAAAAAGGGACAUCCUUUGAUGUGGCACGUCUGAUCCAAAUUGUUUUGUACAUGUCUAGUAGCUUCCAUCAACACUAGAAAUCUUAAAAGAAGAUUUCAACAAAAAAACAGAUCGCCAUCAAGCGUGUGUUUUGUCUUCUCAUAUCAUGCCUGACAUUCCAACCUGGGUCCAAAGACACACACACAGACACACACAUACACACACUAAAGCCUAUACACACAUACAUAAAGUUAUUCAACAGCACAUUUGGUGCACUGAAGUUCAUCCCUUUGAGCUUAGACUGCUGGUACAAGAUCAAUGUGCUGUAUUCAGUACUUAUACUCACCACAUGGUGGCACUAGACACAUUUUAAAAGGACCCCGAUAAGCUAGUAUUUCCAUAAAGUGAUAAAAGCCAAACACUGCACAUACUCUAGCAAAUAGAUACUCCAGAUAACAAUAGUGAUACAAACAUUCUAUACUGGCCCCCUCGAAAAUAAUACAAGAUGAAACUCAGAAUUGAUCUGACUUCUGACAAACAGCAUAACACUCAAACCGCAAAUGGUGUAAUGCUUUAAAAAAAUAUAUAUUAAAUGCAAAUUUCAGAGUUUGUUCAAAGUAUUCAAAUAUACAAAUAGUGAGAAAUACAUUUAACAUUCAUUUUAAAUGGAAAGAUGUUAAGAUAUAUUUUUAUUUAAAUAAAUCC
ensembl:lncRNA